CUCCAAAGUUUAAAAGGAUUGCCGCUGCAGAUUUCUUUAAAGGAUAUUUUGCCCAGAAGCUUGCUGGGAGAUGUUAUCUAGACACUCUACGAAUAUAAACCUAAUAUAUUCGGCUUUAUGCACCUGAGCUUCUUCAGCAGAGGCGGACGCACGUUCAGGGUCAUGGGGUCACGUGCCCCCAUAUAAUAUUGAGUAUCCCACAAGUAUAUAUAUUUUUGAAAAAUUAAGGAUCAUUUAAUUUAUCUAAUAAGUAAUUUAUAAGUCAAAAAUAUCUCACUAAAACAAAUAAAAGGAAGUUUUAAACAAAUAAUUUAAAUUAAGAUGAAUUUUUGGCUCUAACAAAAAUUUAUGUUCUUUUAUAAUAUCAUUAUUUAUAUGGUGCCCCGUCUUUAUAAUUGUUCUAGAUCCGCCACUGUUCUUCAGUGAAUAAACCUGCAACUUCCUACGUAUCGCUAACAAAGAAUCUGCUGCAAUUUCCACAAUGUAAACAGACUUAUUGUCUAUGCAACAGAUUGUAAUGAACUUUUCAUUGCAAUUUCCCUUGUUUCACUCGAGCUUCACGCAACAUUAACAAAUGUAGUCAAAAGUAGAUAUCUAGUAAUCUGCAUAGUUUAGUAAAUGAUGAGCUUAGAGCUAAACAAUAAUUUAUCAGCAAUGAUAGAAUGAAUUAGAAACUCCAUGUAUUUCUUAAAUUAUGCAUAUAAUUUACUUCCGAAUACGAGAACAGUGAAAACAGGAAGCAGUAAGCACACAGGAACUUUGUUUUACAACUCAUAGUCAAGAUUAGGUAACUUAGAGAAGCAUAUAUUUCAUUUAUUCAUUUAAAACUGAAAAAAUGUGCCUAAUAAUCAAGUUUCAUACAUAUUCUUCUGCGAAGAACGAGUUUCACAGGAGCCACAUGUUCGAGCCAAAAUAAUUAAACAAGCCAAGCCAUAUGUAGAUUCAUCAGCCAGAUAGACAUGAUAACAACAAUUGACAACUUUUUCCAAUAUCAUAAGGAAUUCAAACAACGAAAAGGCUAAUGAUUUUAAGUACCAGACAGUAUGAAUGAUGAAAUGUUUGUAUAAAAAGGGCCUAAUUGGUGAUGGUUUACAACUUGAUCGUUUAAUUAACUCUGUUAAGUACGAGGAAGGUUCUCUAAGGAUAGUGACGUGAAAUGGACUUUGUGCACUACAUCCAAUCACAGGUAGUGAAAGAUUUCAUGUGAUUUUUAUAAUGUUGGCUUGUUAAAGAGUAUUGUCUUUGUUUUUUCGUUCGGAAGAAUAGAGUGCUAAUCCCAUAUAAUCCGAAAAAUGUAAAUGGGAAGGAGCAUUCUGCAGAUUCUUAGGAUGACUUCGGGCACUGCACACAUAUGACAGAAAUGCUUAUUAGCAGAUUAUAAACUUAGUUUCAUGGAGAUGACUAAUGUACCAUUUAAUGAUCACUUCACAAUAAAAGACCUUCAAUUAUGAAAUACUGAAAGCUCUGCAUUAAUCAGAAUCCCAUAAAAAAAUAAUCAAAUUUCAUGAAGACCCUGUGAAAUUAGAAGGACACUUAACUAGAUACCUUUGGUUGGUUGGGUGUUACCUUGGUCGGAAUAGUAAAUUGCUCAAUCGCCUACAUAAAACAUAAAUAUUGUGGAACCAUAGAUGCAGGCAUCUUUGAGGUAAGGAAAAUGCUGGCAUCUGCUGUCAAAAAAUGGACAGAUAAACUGAUUCUGAUCAAUACAAUAGAACGCUUGGUAGUCGGCUACCAUUUUUCCAGUUGCAUUGAGGACCUGUUAGCAGAGAUUCAUGAAUCUCAUGCAAAUCUUGAAACUUAUGAAAAGUUGACGCAGAACGGAACACUCGGAUCAACAAACGUUAAUCCUUAUGCACACACACACAAAUCCGCCAACGCGAAUUUGAAAGUUAAAUCUGGAAUCCACCAGAAAAGAUGAGAAAACUCUCAAGGGUUUUGUUUAUUCAAUCAUAAGCUGCCGACUUUUUGCUUACAAUAUUGUUUAUAUAGGAAUAUAAAACCCUAAAACAUAAUAAUAAAAAACAAAUUCUACUUAAAAAUAAAAUAUUAAAUAUAAGUGGCAUGAUCAUGCAGCCAGUCAGCGUGAUCAUGUUGUUGUCCUCUCUAGCCUCUGGAGCUUUUUCCUGCUUUGGCAUGAUCAUGCAGCCCUUUAGCAUGCUCAUGCUGUUUUCCUCCCUUCUUCUUUGCAGGCCUUUUCAUGUCAAGCUUCUCUUCAAAAUUCUGAGCCUCUUGUUCUACAUCAAAAGUAUGAUCUGACUCAUCAACAGCAACAUGCACAGUCACCCUCUCGUCUCCACGUAAUGCAUCAUUUUCUUAAUAUAGCAAUAAACGGUGGAGCUAGCAAGCAAACUGUACAAGAUAUCAACCGGGAAGUGGGAACGCUCAGGGACGGAAACAGGGGGCAAUGGGGUGGUCAUGGUGGCCCAAAGCCUUCCCUAAGAGUUUGAAUUGAUUCUAUUUUGACUAUAAAAAUCGAUUUUAUAGUCGUUAUGUCCCCCCAAAAAUCUCUCCAAAAGUUUGUAUUUAUUCAAUUUUGAGUAUAAAAAUUGAUUAUAGAAAUUUGAAAAUUCUCAAACCCUAAUAUACUCUCUAUUAUUGAAGUAGCCGUCUCUAUCAUCAGUGGGGCUUCCAUCGGUUUUCAACAGUGGAGAGCCCCAAAUCUUUUGUUUGUUUCAUCUUAUUUUUUUCUUUCAAUAAUCUUACUCGUUGAGGAAGGAUUUGUCUCAUUUGAUUUGUUUUUUAGACCUACAUCAUCGGAGCUUACAGUUUACUUUUUUAUUUGAUUGAAGCGGAGCUUAUCGGAUACGAGAGUUACUCGUUCUUCUUGUGGUUUUGACGGUUAGAUCUAAGUUUUUUUAAUUUUCAUUUGUUUUCAGUCUACUUUUAUUUCGAUUGGUAAUUUGUAUUUUCAGGUUGUAUUCUUCUUGUCGUAUGACUUUUUAUUAUUAGAUUAACACUUUUGUUUCAAAAAAAAAUUUGAUUAUAAUGUUCGUUUGGUACCUCACAAACUAACAACAUCAUUGGUGUAGAUGUCGUAUGACUUUUUAUUAUUAGAUUAACACUUUUGUUUCAAAAAAAAUUUGAUUAUAAUGUUCGUUUGGUACCUCACAAACUAACAAAUCUUAAUAGUCCCUUCAAAUAUAUACAGAAAUCUCAUGUAAAUUUGGAUUUUGUACAUACAAAUUCAUGAACUUGUCAAUAAAAUGUAGAUUGUCGGAAUGUAUCUUUUGCAUAAAGAAAUUUCGCCCCUCCAAAUUUUUUCUGGUUCCGUCCCUGCGAACGCUCAAUUCAGCUAUAAAUACAUGAGUAAUAUUGCUCUACAAUAUAUUCUAGAUAUUCACCUCAUACACGCACAGUAAGAAAGAAAGAGGUCAUAGCAAUUGAUAGAAAGAAUGGAAGCAUCAAAAGUAGAAAAAAUAGGGAGGUCUCUCCAGGUACCUUCAGUACAAGAACUGGCCAAGGAUGAAUCUGCCACAGUUCCAUCACAAUACAUUCAUUCUGAUCAAGAUCCUGUAAUUCUCAGUUCGACAGAUCUACCUGAAGUCCCUGUGAUUGAUAUGGAGAUCUUACUUCAUGGAGAUUUAAUGGACGCCGAGCUCAAUAAAUUUCACCAAGCAUGCAAAGAGUGGGGAUUCUUUCAGGUACACUAUGUUUAAGAUUAAUUUAUUUUUUGAUGAAAAAAAAACUAGAUUACAACGCGUCUUUGCAGUUAAUAAACCAUGGUGUUAGCGGUUCAUUACUGGAGAAAGUGAAAACAGAGGUCGUGGAGUUCUUUAAGCUGCCACUUGAAGAGAAGAGAAAGUUUGGUCAACUGGAUGGAGAUAUAGAGGGAUAUGGACAAGCCUUCGUUGUCUCGGAGGAGCAAAAGCUUGAAUGGGCUGAUAUGUUCUACGUGAUCACCCUUCCUACUGAUCUCAGGAAACCGCACUUAUUGCCACAACUACCUCAUUCAUUCAGGUAACAAAAAAUUUCUUUUAUAUAAAGGCUUUUGCAGUAAUUUCUCCUACCUCCCGUAUGAGCCAACCGACAUGUAUCAAACCAUAACAAAUAUGCAGAAAUGUUAUAGAGGAUUACGCGGGGGAAUUGAAAAGCCUAGCAAUGAAUAUUCUCAGUCUAAUGGCCAAAGCUCUUCAAAUGAAUCCUGAGGAAAUGGAAGAGCUCUUUGAAGAAGGCAUGCAAUCAAUGAGGAUGAACUACUAUCCACCAUGCCCUCAACCGGAACAGGUUAUAGGGCUCACGCCCCACAGCGAUGCUACUGGCUUCACUAUCCUUUUUCAACUGAAUGAAAUUGACGGCCUACAGAUUAGAAAGGACGGUACUUGGAUUCCAAUAAAACCAUUGCCUUCUGCCUUUGUUAUAAACAUCGGAGAUGUUCUGGAGGUAAAAUUAACUCUUUUAAAUUUUUAUUUCUUGUAAAUGGAUAGACUAACAUGAUUUAAUCUGUAGGUUGUAACUAAUGGAACUUAUCGGAGCAUUGAGCAUAGAGGAGUUGUCAGCUCAGGGAAGGAGAGAAUGUCGAUUGCUACAUUUUUAAGCCCCAAGGUAGAUGCAGAAUUCGGUCCUGCACCAAGCCUUCUCUCGUCCCAAGCUCCUCCAAAGUUUAAAAGGAUUGGCGCUGCAGAUUUCUUUAAAGGAUAUUUUGCACAGAAGCUUGCUGGGAGAUGUUAUCUAGACACUCUACGAAUAUAAACCUAUUUUAUCACCUGAGCUUCUCCAGUGAAUAAACCUGCAACUUCCUACAUAUCGCUAACAAAGAAUCUGCUGCAAUUUCCACAAUGUAAACAGACUUAUUGUCUAUGCAACAGAUUGUAAUAAACUUUUCAUCACAAUUUCCCAUGUUUC
rnacentral:lncRNA from 1 species